UACGAAGGGUGCAAGCGUUGUUCGGAUUUACUGGGCGUAAAGCGCGCGCAGGCGGAUUGUUAAGUCAGAUGUGAAAUCUCGGGGCUCAACCCCGAAACUGCGUCUGAAACUGAUAAUCUAGAGUCAUAGAGGGGGAAGUGGAAUUUCGCAUGUAGGGGUAAAAUCCGUAGAGAUGCGAAGGAACACCAGUGGCGAAGGCGACUUCCUGGCUAUGUACUGACGCUGAGGCGCGAAAGCGUGGGUAGCGAACAGG
rnacentral:rRNA from 1 species